rnacentral:lncRNA from 1 species
AAUACUGUUACCUUUGAUUGCACUGUAUGAUUAGCCUCUCAUCUUACUAAUGGUAGCUGAUUCAAUCAGAAUUGCAAAGAAGUCUUCCGUUCUGCAGUUGCUUUGGCCGAUUUUUCACGAUAACCAGCGACUAACAGGUCAGUGAGUUUCUAGAGCUUUUGUUCCUAACAAUGAGAGGCAAAAGCUUGUAGACACAAUAGGUUUUUCGACGUCGUCCAGACCGAGUUGUAGCUCUCAUACUAAUAGAUUAAUCAUAAUAUGCUUUUAGAAAGAGUUUUGUGCCACAUCCAGCUCCGAUGAUUUAUAUGGCUGAGUAGCAAGUAUCAGCAAAAUGACAUAUUGACUAGUAUGGUUUCAUCAUCUUAAACCUGGUUUAGUAGUUUUCCCCCUUUUUUAACGCUUUUGCCAUAUGGUGCUGAUUUUAAAGCUCCUCUCGUUUUAUCUUAUGUUUCAUCUUCUUGUUGUUGUCCGAACAGAUGAAACGGGCUUGUCAAAGAGAAUACAAGCUAUGAAGUUUCUUAUGGCUAUUAAACUCGAAACUUUUAGUCAUAAACCUGUCUUGGUGUUCCUCAAAGUAUCUUAGUUGGGUAUGAGAAGGUAUUUUUCUUAAGCUUACAUGUGUGUGAUGACAUGGCUUUCCAUACCUUCCACUUAAAUGUUGAUGUGAUUCUUAGAUAUGUUCAUUGGAGCCAUUGAAAGACAUUCAGUAAAGAAGGCUUGGUCCAAGCUCAGCAUACUCUUGAAACGAC